GCCAAGCUCAUCCCAAGAUGAAGUUUCCCACUCCUCGUGAGUGUAAGACCCCCGGAAGACUACCGGGUUGAUAGGCCAGGAGUGUAAGUGUUGUGAAACAUUCAGCUGACUGGUACUAAUCGGUCGAGGGCUUGAUUAC
rnacentral:rRNA from 1 species